AUCCUGGCUCAGGACGAACGCUGGCGGCGUGCUUAACACAUGCAAGUCGAACGAUGAAGCCUUUCGGGGUGGAUUAGUGGCGAACGGGUGAGUAACACGUGGGCAAUCUGCCCUUCACUCUGGGACAAGCCCUGGAAACGGGGUCUAAUACCGGAUAACACUCUGUCCCGCAUGGGACGGGGUUAAAAGCUCCGGCGGUGAAGGAUGAGCCCGCGGCCUAUCAGCUUGUUGGUGGGGUAAUGGCCUACCAAGGCGACGACGGGUAGCCGGCCUGAGAGGGCGACCGGCCACACUGGGACUGAGACACGGCCCAGACUCCUACGGGAGGCAGCAGUGGGGAAUAUUGCACAAUGGGCGAAAGCCUGAUGCAGCGACGCCGCGUGAGGGAUGACGGCCUUCGGGUUGUAAACCUCUUUCAGCAGGGAAGAAGCGAGAGUGACGGUACCUGCAGAAGAAGCGCCGGCUAACUACGUGCCAGCAGCCGCGGUAAUACGUAGGGCGCAAGCGUUGUCCGGAAUUAUUGGGCGUAAAGAGCUCGUAGGCGGCUUGUCACGUCGGAUGUGAAAGCCCGGGGCUUAACCCCGGGUCUGCAUUCGAUACGGGCUAGCUAGAGUGUGGUAGGGGAGAUCGGAAUUCCUGGUGUAGCGGUGAAAUGCGCAGAUAUCAGGAGGAACACCGGUGGCGAAGGCGGAUCUCUGGGCCAUUACUGACGCUGAGGAGCGAAAGCGUGGGGAGCGAACAGGAUUAGAUACCCUGGUAGUCCACGCCGUAAACGUUGGGAACUAGGUGUUGGCGACAUUCCACGUCGUCGGUGCCGCAGCUAACGCAUUAAGUUCCCCGCCUGGGGAGUACGGCCGCAAGGCUAAAACUCAAAGGAAUUGACGGGGGCCCGCACAAGCAGCGGAGCAUGUGGCUUAAUUCGACGCAACGCGAAGAACCUUACCAAGGCUUGACAUAUACCGGAAAGCAUCAGAGAUGGUGCCCCCCUUGUGGUCGGUAUACAGGUGGUGCAUGGCUGUCGUCAGCUCGUGUCGUAGAGAUGUUGGGUUAAGUCCCGCAACGAGCGCAACCCUUGUUCUGUGUUGCCAGCAUGCCCUUCGGGGUGAUGGGGACUCACAGGAGACUGCCGGGGUCAACUCGGAGGAAGGUGGGGACGACGUCAAGUCAUCAUGCCCCUUAUGUCUUGGGCUGCACACGUGCUACAAUGGCCGGUACAAUGAGCUGCGAUGCCGCGAGGCGGAGCGAAUCUCAAAAAGCCGGUCUCAGUUCGGAUUGGGGUCUGCAACUCGACCCCAUGAAGUCGGAGUUGCUAGUAAUCGCAGAUCAGCAUUGCUGCGGUGAAUACGUUCCCGGGCCUUGUACACACCGCCCGUCACGUCACGAAAGUCGGUAACACCCGAAGCCGGUGGCCCAACCCCUUGUGGGAGGGAGCUGUCGAAGGUGGGACUGGCGAUUGGGACGAAGUCGUAACAAGGUAGCCGUACCGAAAGGUGCGGCUGAU
rnacentral:rRNA from 1 species